AUUGAACGCUGGCGGCAGGCCUAACACAUGCAAGUCGAACGAGUGGCGGACGGGUGAGUAAUGUCUGGGAAACUGCCUGAUGGAGGGGGAUAACUACUGGAAACGGUAGCUAAUACCGCAUACCAUCAGAUGUGCCCAGAUGGGAUUGGCUAGUUGGUGGGGUAACGGCUCACCAAGGAGCAGAUCCCUACCUGGGCUGAGAGGAUGACCCGCCACACUUGAACUGAGAAACGGGCCAGACUCCUACGGUAGGCAGCAGUGGGGAAUAUUGCACAAUUGGCGCAAGCCUGAUGCAGCCAUGCCGCGUGGAUGAAGAAGGCCUUCGGGUUGUAAAGUACUUUCAGCGGGGAGGCGUUACCCGCAGAAGAAGCACCGGCUAACUCCGUGCCAGCAGCCGCGGUAAUAC
rnacentral:rRNA from 1 species